GAUGAACGCUGGCGGCGUGCCUAAUACAUGCGAGUCGAGCGAACAGAUAAGGAGCUUGCUCCUUUGACGUUAGCGGCGGACGGGUGAGUAACACGUGGGUAACCUACCUAUAAGACUGGAAUAACUCCGGGAAACCGGGGCUAAUGCCGGAUAACAUGUUGAACCGCAUGGUUCUACAGUGAAAGGCGGCUUUGCUGUCACUUAUAGAUGGACCCGCGCCGUAUUAGCUAGUUGGUGAGGUAACGGCUCACCAAGGCAACGAUUCGUAGCCGACCUGAGAGGGUGAUCGGCCACACUGGAACUGAGACACGGUCCAGACUCCUACGGGAGGCAGCAGUAGGGAAUCUUCCGCAAUGGGCGAAAGCCUGACGGAGCAACGCCGCGUGAGUGAUGAAGGUCUUCGGAUCGUAAAACUCUGUUAUUAGGGAAGAACAAAUGCGUAAGUAACUGUGCGCGUCUUGACGGUACCUAAUCAGAAAGCCACGGCUAACUACGUG
rnacentral:rRNA from 1 species